rnacentral:rRNA from 1 species
ACGGGAGGCAGCAGUGAGGAAUAUUGGUCAAUGGGCGAGAGCCUGAACCAGCCAAGUAGCGUGAAGGAUGACUGCCCUACGGGUUGUAAACUUCUUUUAUACGGGAAUAAAAAAGGCCACGCGUGGCCUCUUGCAUGUACCGUAUGAAUAAGCAUCGGCUAAUUCCGUGCCAGCAGCCGCGGUAAUACGGAAGAUGCGAGCGUUAUCCGGAUUUAUUGGGUUUAAAGGGAGCGUAGGCGGGUCUUUAAGUCAGUGGUCAAAGCGUGUGGCUCAACCAUACCACGCCAUUGAUACUGGAGACCUUGAGUGCACAUAAGGAUGGUGGAAUUCGUCGUGUAGCGGUGAAAUGCUUAGAUAUGACGAAGAACUCCGAUUGCGAAGGCAGCUGUCCGGGGUGUAACUGACGCUAAUGCUCGAAAGUGCGGGUAUCAAACAGGAUUAGAUACCCUGGUA